rnacentral:lncRNA from 1 species
UGAAAUUAUUCUUCAAUAGAACGUUGGUUAAGCUUAAGAAGGCUUCAGUUAACAUACUGAGGAUUGUAGAACCAUAUAUUUCAUGGGGAUAUCCAAACCUGAAGUCAGCAAAUGAACAAAUCUACAAGCGUGGUUAUGGCCAAAUCAAUAAGAUGCAAAUUGCCUUGACAGAUAACAUUUUGAUUGGUCAAUCUCUUGGUUGAGCAUCAUCUGCCUGGAUGGCAUCAACCAAGAUAUGCCACAUCUUGGCAUCAACCAAAUAUGGCAUCAUCUGCCUGGAGGAUUUAAUUCAUGAGAUCUAUACAGUUGGAAAGCACUUCAAAGAAGCAAAUAACUUCCUGUGGCCCUUCAAAUUAACUUCUUCAGGAGUUGGAAUGAAGAAAAAGACCGCCCAUUUUGUAAAAGGUAGAGAUGCUGGCAAUAGGGAAGACCAGACAAACAGUCUUGUUAAAUGGAUGAGCUAA